rnacentral:misc_RNA from 1 species
UCUCCGUAGGUGAACCUGCGGAGGGAUCAUUACUGAGUGAGGGCCUUCGGGCUCGACCUCCAACCCUUUGUUGUACCAAGUACGUUGCCUCGGGGGGCGACCCGGCCCCCGCGCCGGGCGGCCCCAGAGGUGCACCCAACUCUGCAUCUUUGCGUCGGAGUAUUGAAAGCAAAUCAAUCAAAACUUUCAACAACGGAUCUCUUGGUUCUGGCAUCGAUGAAGAACGCAGC